GCCUCCUCCCUCACCUCCCUGGAGCUCAGGGAAACAGGCGGAGCCAGGGUACAUCAAUGCAUUAAGAGCAACAGUGGACCUCAGGUUCAAAGAGAGAAUUUCAGGACUUCCAGAUUAGGGGUGGUUGCAGUACAAGGCGUAUCCAAGACAUUUCUUCUCAUUUAGGGGAAAGCAGCCGGCUUCGUGGAUCCAGAGUGUGAGUCAUCGAGUGGGGAACAGAAGGGCAUGUC
rnacentral:lncRNA from 1 species